rnacentral:rRNA from 1 species
UACAGAGGUCUCAACCGUUGUUCGGAUUCAUUGGGCGUAAAGGGUGCGUAGGCGGUCCUUUAAGUCAGUGCUGAAAUACUCCAGCUUAACUGGAGGGGUGGCAUUGAUACUGGGGGACUUGAAUGAAGUCGAGGUAGGCGGAAUUGACGGUGUAGCGGUGAAAUGCUUAGAUAUCGUCAAGAACACCGAUAGUGAAGACAGCUUACUAGGCUUAGAUUGACGCUGAGGCACGAAAGUGUGGGGAUCAAACAGG